CACACAUGAAAAAAGCGGACAAAAAGUCCAAGGUAGAUGUGGCUAGAGGGUCCAAGGAUUCGAGAGACUGCCAUCAUGAUCGCUUGCUUGCUGAUCUAACCUCCAGGGAUCGAGCUCAACUCUACCAAGAGCAUGUUUUGGAUAGAACCAGGGACACAGUAAAAUUAGAUAUACUGGACCAUGUAGUGGUAGAAGAAGUUUUUGUAGAAUGCUUCAAGCCCGGCGGAUAUAUGCACUCAAACAUUUUCUUCUUACAAUCUCUAUUGUGGAAUAGAGUGUGGAAGGGCAAAUAUAUUUUAUCUGAACAGGCAUCUGGCGAGUUGUUGCGACCGCGACAUGGAACAAAAAGGUUAGAUCAGGAGCUUGGAUUGCAUUAUGGUGAGGAAGCUCUGAUAUUUAUCCCAAUUGUUCAUGAUUAUCAUUGGUUCUUGAUCGCGAUCUCUGUCAAGGACAGGAUCAUCCAUGUUCUUGAUUCAUUGCCUGGC